AAACCUCAUCUCUAAAAAUAAACAUAGAAAAAAAAAGAAGACAGAGUGAGGAUUCGCAUUGUUCUUCAAGGCUUUUUGAGUUGCCGUGUGUUUUGUUCAAAUGUGACCCGUGCACAUAGCCACUGAGAACAAGCUUCAGACACAGGCAGAACCUCAGUUCUAAGACAAUGGUUGUCCACUCACAACAAGCCAAUCAACUUCAACAGAGAACAACAAAAUUCAGAGGCAAAAUGAUGGGGUGCUUAUGGUAAUAGAAGGGAAAAUUAAACAACAAUAAUAGUAAAUAGAAAAACAUCACACUUAUUCUCCUCAAAUAAAUUUGAUACUUCGAUUUUUGUACUUAAGAAAAAAUGGAUAUCUGGAAAAUUAUUUAAUGAACUAACGCUUUAUACACCAACAACAUGAACACCAGCUUUGUUUGUGUGUGUUGCUCUUGUGUUUCUACUGACCUCCCUGUCCCCACUCUCCUCACUCUUAAACCAGUUCUUUUCCUAAGCAAUAAAUCCUAUUACCUUAUUUACCUGCUUAAAAACUUCUAUUGGUUCCCUGUUGGGUAAAUGAGAAAAUCAAAACCCAACUUGGCAAUAGGCCCUUCCCAGGCCCCAGCUGACUUUCUCUUGGAGCUAUUACCCUCAUGUCUGCCAGGCUGGGCACUUUAUUCAUUCUGUUUUUCUCUAUGUUCUUCCUCUACAAUCAUUCUCACCUGCCCAGCUCCAUCUCAUCCUCCUAGGUAAAGCCUUUGGUGACAAACUCCCUGUCCCUGGCAGCUCCCCACCCUCUCUCCCAGCUUUCCUCGGAUCUCUGAAAUGCCAUCUAAAUGUCUGUCACUUCCCUCAGAUACAGAAAAGGUCCUAUUUCUUACUUUCUCUGAACCCCUGUAUACCCAGCAAGGAGCCCAGCACAUAGUGGGCAGUGAAUAGCUAAGAAACAAAGUUUUUCAUUCUGCAAAUCACUUUCUACCUUGUUUCCAAGAGCUUCAGGGCAGUUUUCCAUAGUCUAACUCCAAGAGGCCCCUUGUCUUCACAUGGAAAGCCCAAGAAGUAGAUAAUGAGAGUUCUCUGGGCCCACACCAAUCAUUCCUGUAGAACAAAUUGAUGGUGUUCUCAGGGAGUGACACUGUGGGACACACCCCUGGGAAGCACUUGUCGAAAACUUUCCCCAUAGGUAUGUCAAGCAAAAUGUUGGGGGAGGGUGCAAAAAUGUUUCCCUUCCUAUUCAACAGAUCAGCACAUCUUAGAAAGAGAAAAUGACAGAGGGAGAGUAGAAGAGCAGAGCAUGAAAGAGAGGGUGGCUAUCCAAGGACAGUCUCUGCUGUCUGUCAGCUCACACCUCCUGCCACUCCCUGCUACUUAGGAAAUAGUUCCAGCCAAUUUCUUGCCCUUUUCCCAUUAUUUUUUCUAUCUGGGCCUUUCCACCGCUAACCAAAAAGGAAAAGAAAAAUUUGAUUUCCACCAAAAAUCAAAAUAUGUGAUUUUACUAGGAUUAUUUAUCUAGAUAAAUAUCUCUCUUGUCAGUAUUAAUGUGUAUAUUACAUUAAGUGGUAUUUAUUUUGUACUGGCAAACAAAAAGAAUAACUCAGAGUUUCUACUCUCUCUAUAACCAGCAAUAUCCCACAAGUUAAGUCCAUUUUUCUCAGAUAGAGAAAUAUUCUCAGAAUAAACUGGCUUAUCAUUCCAAUGUUUUACAUUUAAAUUGUCUGAAGCUUCUUUUCCUUUUUUCAGCUAUUUAAUGUUCAGCAUCUGCAGAUUCUAGUUCCAGAGUUAGAUCAGCCUGGAGAGCUUCUAAUUUCUUGAACUCUCCGUUCUGACCUGAUUCCUACCCCCAGGGAAAUAUAAUGCAGCUUCUGGAAUCUUUCUAAACCACACAAGGACUGUUGUGGAAGGACAUUUCAGUCAUCAGAGUUUAUGACUCAGAGCUUUUGAGCAUCUAAGUUCCAGUAUCUGUUUUUAAACUGUCUCUUGAUCAGAGUUUAGGUCUUCUAGUUUCUCCCUAUUUUACAUUAUAGAAACUAAAUCAAAGGAUUAAUAAGACAAACAAUGCUUGCAAAUAUAAAGUGCUAUUGCAAUGUUAGAUUAUGAUAAUAGGGUAUUUUAAGGAUGACAAGAAUAAAUAUAAGGGGAGAGAAGGACUCAUGAAUUUGGGGCAGUCAUUUAGGAAUUAACCUAAUAUUUAUUUCUACUAUAUGCCAAGCAAUUUCACAUACAUUCUCCCAUUCAAUCUUUAACUCUGUGGCAUAGACAUUAUCUCCAUUUUAAAAGAGAAAACUGAAGUUCUGAGGGGUUAAAUCCCUUGCCCAAGAGUCCCACUGCUAGUGGGUGCCAUAGGAUUUGAACUUAGGUCCUUUGACUCCUGGUUCAAAAUUAUUUUCACUGCAUAACUUUUGCUGAAAAGACUAGCACAGUCCCUGGUUAGAAAUUUGUUAUCCAUUAUCUAUGACCCACUUCUAGGGCUUACUAAAAUAAAUAGUUUUAUUCUACUACAACCUCAAAAGUAUCUCAAAAAAUGAAAUUGAGAGGCUCCCCCACUUCUUAGAAUGGUUUCACUUAAGCAAGAACCAAGAAAGGUAGAAUUUGUAGAGAUGUGUAACGGCUCCCAGGAUCCUUUACAAACAGGCAUAAACCCCUACCUAAUGCAGACUACUCAAUGCUCCCUCCUUUUGGACUAAAUGGGGCCCUUUUACCGAGGAAGCGCUAAUAUGGCAUCAGGCUAUUAAUGGGAAAAGCAUUUACUUUAGAUUAAGAAGAGUGUAAAGCAGUGUGGAGGGGGGGCUCUAUGACUGGCUAUUAGGGAUGUUAAUUAAAUAUUUAUAAUGUCUAAAUUAGCAUAGCGAAAGCUCAAUUCAUCAAUUUGUUCUGGUCUGUUUGUAAGGGGGAAAAAAUAACUCCAAAUGCCCCUGAAGAAAGACACUAUGUGGGUCAAUAAGAAGAUGACUGAACAAUUUAUUAUGAUUGUGGUAAACUUUUUAUUUGAUUUUAUUUAAAGGUACUUGUUGCAGCACCUUACCUUAAAGACCAUUUACCACAGUCAAUAUACUGGAGGGCCAUGCAUUAUUCAUUGUUAUCCAAUGAAAAAUUUUCUAAGGUGCUUCAAUGCUGAAUGCCUGAUUGAUUAAUUGAUUGCUUGAUAGUUACUUCCAAAAAGUAAGGACUAGAUUUAAUGUUUAGAACCAGGCGCUGGAAGCUAGAAGCUCUGAGUUCUUCCUCUAUUGCUAACUAGCCUGCUGAAGGACUUAGAUUUCCAAGCCUUAAAAUGAUAUCUUGCUAAUAUAGCUGUUUUUAGGCUUCCUGGUUAAUAAUUAAGAGGACUAGUUGGAUCUUCCACUGAAAACUGCUAAGUGUGCGGCUGCUUCUCCUCAGAUUGGGGUGGAAAAGCCAAGCAUAUUAAUACCUAAAUACCCACAGCCUGUGGGCAUUAUGUACAUGCUUAAUGAAUGUACUUUAUGAAUUCCAUUAGUUACAAUUACUUUUACCUCAUUUUAUUAUAGGAACGUCUCAAAAGGGAAAAGCCAACUGUCUAACUUAUUUUCAACUGUAAAUGAGACUGGCUGCAAUGGAGACUUCAUCACCAGCACAUAAAUGGAGUUGUCUAUAGCUAGCAGAGUCUCAUCACCACUCACACACAUUUGGGUAAACACAGUUAUGGGCGAAAAGUCUGGAAUAUUUUACAGACUCUCUCCACACUGGCCCAGCAGUUUCACAGUCAUAUUUAAUAAAUGCACUCCUUUCCCCAAAACUAAAAAUAUUAAAACUUUCUGAGGACUUUUCGUUUGUUUUGGCUAUAAUUAACAUUUUUCUAAUUUGCGGGUAUUUUGUCUGCUAUUCCUAUGAAGAAGUGAGCACAAAAAACAUUUUGAACCUUCUUCAUAUGGGUGCAUCUAAGUUCCCUCUCUUACUUUCCCCCUUUGGACAAUCUGGCCUUCUCUAGAGGGAGGGCUGGCGUGAAAGGGUUAAAGGUUCUCUGGUCAAAAUAGCCCAACAGAAGGAGCUGGGCCCAGAGCUGAAAUCUAAGUGCUAAUGACCGUUGCCCUUCACCCUACUGCUGUCCACUGGCCGGACCUGCGGCCGGGUGGGGCCCCGGACUGGGAGAGGGCACAAUAUUCUGCAUUUAACAUUUGAACUUCUCCUAUCCGAGGCAGCAGGCCGUUUUGUCCUGGGGUCGCUGACCCUGGCUCCCCCAUCAGCUGCCCUGAAACCUUAAUUGAAUGACAGAUGGUCAUUUUCGGGGGCGCCAGAAGCUGCGGGCGGCCAGCGGCGCGGGGACUGCGGCCCCAGGCCCCGGCAGUCCUGCCCGGACUCUGCCAGCAAGGGGCGGGCGGCAGAGGUAGCAGGCGGCUUGCGGAGCUGGCCUAGCCUGCGGGCGCGACGGGAUCUGCGGGCGUCGGGCGAACGCGUGGCAACGAGCACCUGGAGGAAACCCCGGCGUAAGAGGCCGCGCGGGCGUUAGAUCACCAGCUGGGAGCUGUUUAUUUAUGGCUGCAAAUGUGUGUGUUCAAGAGAGAGAGGGAAUUGAUCUUUGCCUGGACUUAAAGAUGGAGCCGAAGAAGCUGGAGGGAAUUUGGGCUUGUGCGUCUGGCCCAGACCCUGUGCGCCGAGCCCGAGGUCUAUCCUCCCCGCACCUCUCACCUCGCGACCUUGCAGGAAUCCGCGGGCCCGGAUGCUGCCCAGCUGACCCUCCUGCCCCGGGCCUGGCUGCAGAGAAAGUCUUCGGGCAGGAGGCCAUCCUGUUCCUGUCUUUAAAAUGAGCACAAUAAAAGGGGGCAAAUCCUCGAACGCGAACCUGAUCUCAUGUCACAGAAGCAACUUGCCAUGAAAUCCGCUAAUGCGCUGCGACUCGCCCACCAGGGCAGCGUGCGGCGGCCGAACUGCACCUGCGUUUGUGAGCCUUGUAGAAAUGGAGCCCACCGGAUUCCCUCACCCGGAGAAAUGCCCAAACUGAAACUUGACUACACUUCCCUGGGCUGGUUCACGGUUUCAUAAUCUCCCAGGUUUGCUGGCUGUGUCACCAAAUCCAAGCCAAACCUGCUAUAAACAUGAUCACAGGCCACUGACCUCGCAGCACUGACCGAUAACUCGGUGGCAAAAUCAGCUCCUCUGGUCAGAGGUUAUUAAAGCAGCGGCUGAAUUCGUGUUUGUUUUUUUGAAGUGGUCAGAAAAACGUAGUCUUCUUAAACCUACAAAAACAGUCAAACACAUUUGCAAAUGUGCUUUACUUGUAUUGGUUCGAGUGCUGGAAGCUGUCUGGCGGUGAGCUUUUUCGUUGCGUGUGGUUUAUGCAGAGCACCCGGGAUGUUUUUCUCGUCUUUUACGUCUUGGUAUCUUUUAAAAAUGUAGAAUGUGUCUCUGAUUGUUUCACAGUAUGUUCCUUAACAACCAGAUAUGUAAGAAAACGUUUGGGAUUGAGUGGUGAGAAAAGCAGACUGGAAAGUACAAAUAAACCCAAUCCAAAUGGAAAACAAAUUAAACAGAUGAAAUGAUUAUGAAAGAAGAUGGGGGAAUUAACUUGUCUGGAAAAAAUCGAGUUUAGGGUCUGAACUUUACAGAUUAAAUGGCAACACAGAACAAAUCCAAAGGAAUUAAAUCUAUUCUUUUGCCCUCCUAGGCAUCUGGGUCAGAUGCACAUUUUGAGGCAUUUCAACAGACAGAUCAGCUCUGGGACACUUGCACACUUUUUUGGUAAACUGCAACCUAUUACGUGACCUUUAAUCCUGGUGGAAAACAAUUUAAAAUGUAUUCCUGGCUUUAGGAAACAAAAGAAAAAUUUUAAACCCUGGCAGUUAAAUUAUUACUGGUCUCUACAGGGUUAAUUUAAUGUAAAUAAUCUACUCUCCUGAGGGAAAAGGUGGAGGCCUGGCAUUCUGGAAGGGCCAGUCAGGUGGUGACAAAACUGUGUGCCUUGGGGUUUUGAGGGGUGUGUUGGGUGGCUCUGAACCUGGCUUUGGGUUUGUUACAUCUCUCGCUCUCUUAAAACAGUAACUCAAGAUGUAAGUAAAAGUGUUUUCAUUUUUUAUUGAUCCUGCUAACAUCUUUCAUUAUCCAGCAUGUAGCCACAGCAAAUUAUUGCUCAUUUGAUACUGAGAAUUCUAUUGACCAUCGCUUUCGUUGGAGAGAGAAUUCUAACUACUCGGCUGCUCUGUCAUCAGUCAGAGCUAAGGCUGAGGACUUUCCACCACUAAAACCAAAAUAAAUUGAGCCUUCUGCCUCCAGAAAUUGAUAGAGAUGUGUUCAUUACAUUGGGCCACAUGAGCAUGCAUAGAAAUCUGCUUUUUACUCUCCCAGCCUUGCCCCCACUCAGGCAAUAGGUCGGCCCCUUUGGAACAGAACUGUCUAUUUGAAGGGCUGGGCAUUCGUUUGCUUUUCCUGUAUCCCUUCUGGCAACUUCUUUCCAGCUGUGGCCAGGUUGGGGCAAUGAAAUGAUGCAAUGGGAGACUCCUCCUCAGUCCUGUGGUCAAAGCCACCUUGACUUGCUUAAGCUUAGAGAAAUCAUUAAAAUCUCAAAAACAAAAACAAACAAAAAACCUCCUAAAAUGUCCAGAUAGGUCACUUUAUGGUCUGGAUAUAAUUUCCUAAAUUAAACUGCUCCACCCCCAUCAAGACCCCACAUAAUCAAAGAGCAGAGCGGCUAAGUUGGGAAGCGAAGGUUAAGCUCUGGGGUAUGCGCCUGUUCACUCUGGAAAUGGGCGUCCAGCGGGAAUGAUAGGCCUGGGCGACUCGUGCACUCACACCAGCCCAAGCGGAAAGGAAGUCUGGGCCUAGAGAAGGCCUGACCUUUGACCCUUGGCCCGGCAGCUCCGGGGUGCUAGAGUCUGCAGAGGGAGGCGGGUUGGGAGACGAGGCUAGACAGGGGCCCGCAGGGCAAUAGGAAAGGCUGGGUUUGUUCCCCAGGAAGCUAGUGGAGUAAUCUACCUUGACGCAGAAAGGAGCUGGAGCUGCCCCACAGCAGGGGCCACCCGACGCCCGACCCUCUGGCUGCCUUCACCAUCCCAGAGGCGGGCAGGUCAGGCCUGUCUGUUGGGAUCCAGGCUCCCUUGCCACUUCCCUUCCAGCAUCUGGGGAAAAGACGCCCUGACUCAAGGGUGUUCUGGCCCCGCACGACGGGGGGCGAAGAGAGACAAAAGUCGAGCCUAACAGCAGGCGGCUGCUGAGCUGGCGGGUCUUGGGCCACUGCUAGUCCAGCGUUGGCGUCCAGCGGGGCCUGUCACCUUUACAAGUAACAAGGGACCAUAUCCGCUUCUCCUUAAGCCCUGGACCCCAAGGGGAGGCCAGGACGACCUUGCAGGAGCCAUGCCCCCUGGGGAUUCUAUGGAGGAGAUUGUUUGGUUGGGUUUCAUUUGCAUCAAUACCAGGAGAUGAACCCUCUGGGUUUGGCUUCAGAACAAACGGAGGACCAAUUAACGCCUGUACAAAUUAGUCCCUGGCGUGUGCAACCCGCCAAACAACGCCAGUUCCAAAUCGGAAGGCACGUUUAGGGACUCUCAGGGACCCGGCUUGGUAGUUAUUUUUCCAAUGGUGCUGUUAAGUGUGAGUGAAGCUAUUUGCACUCUCGCGGGCCUCGCUCCAAGACCCCUGGCACGAUGGGGAGCCACUUUGUUCCGGAGGAAGGCAGCGGAUGAAUAGGAACCCUGGCUGCGCACAUGGACCCUAACCCAAGAGCAGCAGCAGCAGCAGCAGCGGAAAGACACGGGUAGUCUGAUUCGGCUUGGGGAACGGAAGGGGAGUGUAAGAUGAGAUACACACCGGAUUUUUUUAGUUUUUCCUUUUUUGUUUUUAACGUAGAUAAAUAACCCCAUCGUCCGUGUAAUCAGCACGUUCCCAAUGAAGUCGUUUUCCUAGAAUGCGCUCUCCGCCUGCCACACUUGAGGAAUCCAGCCCACAGAGGUUUCGGAAACCCAGUUUGAGUGAUUCCAGCCUAGACUGAAACCCUGAGAGCCUCCCAGGAAAGAGAGCCCGGCCUGGGCCAAGCAGUCGGACACACACACACACACACACACACACACACACACACACACACACACACACACGGACUGCGUAGCUCUUCGCAGGAUCGAAGGCUGGAUGCGGAUCUGGGAGGCGGUGGCUAAGCGAACCAGGAAGACUGUGACGGAAACCAAUACAGCAGUGUCAUCUUGAAAGUUAUUUGGAAGAACAGGACCUGGAGUCUGGGUUUGAAUCAAAAAAUUGUGAGCAAGGGACAGAUCACCCUGUAUUUCUCUGGAACGAGGCAGAACUGAGACCUGCUCAGCUGAACCAGCGUGGCCACAUAUUGGGGACUAGGAAAUUGUUCUCAGACACUGUAGCACACACAUCCUCUGACAGCGAGCUCACUCCUGCGCAGUGGGCUUCUGGUUCUGCCACUGCACUCCACAAACGCCCUACAGGCCUCCUCCAGGUUUUGCCAGGCAAAUGAAACGAGCACAACUCGAUAGUAAAUUAUUUUGUUCAGCCUUCUCUCUUUUUAUGAAAAUAAGAGGCAACACUUUGUCAUUUUUAAUCACAUAAGCAGACAAUAAAUCUAAUUUUGAUAUUGA
rnacentral:lncRNA from 1 species